GACGAACGCUGGCGGCGUGCUUAACACAUGCAAGUCGAACGAUGAAGCCGGAGCUUGCUCCGGUGGAUUAGUGGCGAAUGGGUGAGUAACACGUGAGCAAUCUGCCCUUGACUCUGGGAUAACUGCGGGAAACUGUAGCUAAUACCGGAUACGACACCUUGGGGCAUCCCAGGGUGUGGAAAGAAUUUCGGUCAAGGAUGAGCUCGCGGCCUAUCAGCUAGUUGGUGAGGUAAUGGCUCACCAAGGCGACGACGGGUAGCCGGCCUGAGAGGGUGACCGGCCACACUGGAACUGAGACACGGUCCAGACUCCUACGGGAGGCAGCAGUGGGGAAUAUUGCACAAUGGGCGAAAGCCUGAUGCAGCAACGCCGCGUGAGGGAUGAAGGCCUUCGGGUUGUAAACCUCUUUUAGCAGGGAAGAAGCGAAAGUGACGGUACCUGCAGAAAAAGCACCGGCUAACUUCGUGCCAGCAGCCGCCGUAA
rnacentral:rRNA from 1 species